AUAAAAUGAGACCUAAUCUUCGACUCGUUUAUACUUAAAUCAGUGUCUACAAUACAGCAAAACAACGUAAAAUAUUUCUUUCCGACAUCAUAAUGGUUCCCAAGAAGGCAAUUCUCUACCUUCUCUAUCUUUGUUCAUAAUAUACGACGCUGCUUCCAUGGUGAUGGUGACUGCUACCGUCUCCAAUGACAUCAGUAAGUUAUCCUUUCUAGCAUCUCAAAAUUUUUACAUUAAUGGAAACUAAUUCGGUAGUGCAUGUGGUUCAUGCAGCUCAAGCAACAGUAGAGAAAAAUAAAGUGCAUAUGAUUUCCGAUGUUGCGCAGCCUGUUCGCCAUCGUCCAAUUCCAGGCACUCCAGUUCCGAAACACCUGAAAAUCGUCUUCCUUGCUGUUGGAGAAGAUGUCUCUUGUUGCUGCUUUGCUGCAGAGGAUGCUAAGAAAAUCGGAUAUUGGCCCUAUAAUUAGUGAGUUCCAUUCACUUUAUUAUCAACUAGAUUUGAUAGAAUUGAGGGAAAAAAAAAAGGUUCAAAUAUCGUGUGUUGGGUGCAAACGCCCAUGUUUGGCCCCCAUUUUGUGGAAAUGAAAAUGGGUGGAAUCGUAUUUAUUUGAAAAAUAAGUGAUUGAAAAUAAAGAAAAAAGUUUUCUAUUUACAUAUAAUAUUAUUUUACAGAAGAUUGUGUGAUUGAAAAUAAGAAAGAGAGAAAUGGAAUGUAAUGGAAUGAGAAUUAUUGGGGGCCAAACGGGGGCUAAAAACUAACUGAAUCCGUU
rnacentral:lncRNA from 1 species